rnacentral:rRNA from 1 species
GAUGAACGCUGGCGGCGUGCCUAAUACAUGCAAGUCGAGCGAACAGACGAGGAGCUUGCUCCUCUGACGUUAGCGGCGGACGGGUGAGUAACACGUGGAUAACCUACCUAUAAGACUGGGAUAACUUCGGGAAACCGGAGCUAAUACCGGAUAAUAUAUUGAACCGCAUGGUUCAAUAGUGAAAGACGGUUUUGCUGUCACUUAUAGAUGGAUCCGCGCCGCAUUAGCUAGUUGGUAAGGUAACGGCUUACCAAGGCAACGAUGCAUAGCCGACCUGAGAGGGUGAUCGGCCACACUGGAACUGAGACACGGUCCAGACUCCUACGGGAGGCAGCAGUAGGGAAUCUUCCGCAAUGGGCGAAAGCCUGACGGAGCAACGCCGCGUGAGUGAUGAAGGUCUUCGGAUCGUAAAACUCUGUUAUUAGGGAAGAACAUAUGUGUAAGUAACUGUGCACAUCUUGACGGUACCUAAUCAGAAAGCCACGGCUAACUACGUG